rnacentral:rRNA from 1 species
AAAUUGAAGAGUUUGAUCAUGGCUCAGAUUGAACGCUGGCGGCAGGCCUAACACAUGCAAGUCGAACGGUAACAGGAAUCAGCUUGCUGAUUUGCUGACGAGUGGCGGACGGGUGAGUAAUGUCUGGGAAACUGCCUGAUGGAGGGGGAUAACUACUGGAAACGGUAGCUAAUACCGCAUAACGUCGCAAGACCAAAGAGGGGGACCUUCGGGCCUCUUGCCAUCGGAUGUGCCCAGAUGGGAUUAGCUAGUAGGUGGGGUAACGGCUCACCUAGGCGACGAUCCCUAGCUGGUCUGAGAGGAUGACCAG